CUGGCGUAAAGUCCCCGGGAGCUUUGCCCCUCACGGAGAACGUUAGUUGACCCUGAUGGGGACCCGUAGGGUAAAGGUUUUGUUUUUGUUUUUUUUUACGGAAAAGGUUGUGGUUAGGCCCCUUGGAAAGUUGCGACAAAACUCGAGUUAGACAAGGAAGGUCGGAACUAAGUGGCCACAGCAACAAUGCACCAGCAAGCAGGGAGCGUGAUAGGAAGAGCUAAAGAGGAAUCGGGAAACCCUGGGGUCUCACCGCCGUCGCCCAGGCCGGAUGGAGUGCAGUGGCGCGAUCACGGCUCACUGCAGCCUCGACUUCCCAGGCUCAGGUGAUCCUCCUGCCUUAGCCUCCCGAGUAGCUGGAAUUACAGGCGUGCACCACCCCCCCCCAACUACUUUUUGUAUUUUUUUGUAGAGAUGGGUUUCACCAUGUUUCCCAGCCUUGUCUCAAACUCCUGACCUCAAGUGAUCCGCCGUCUUGGGUCUUCGAAAGUGCUGGGACAGCAGGAGUGAGCCACCGCAUCUGGCCCGGAAAGUGUUUUGGAGCGUAGAAAAAUGCAAAUUAUAGGGCUGCCUUCAAGGAUCCCGAAGGACCCACAGAUUUGCCGCAUCAGGCUCCUAUGCACGCCGGUAAUUUGAUGUGUUGAGAUGCACUGCCCAGUGCGUUGUUUUUACUGGAGGAGCUUGUGUGCGGAGCUCCUUGCUAGUGUAUGUGUUGGGAUGGGAGAGAAGUGCGGGAGAACUAUGAGAUAAUGCCCCCUGAUCCUCAGGGUCUUAGGAGGUAUGGUCGGAGAGGCUAAGCUAAAGUAUGAAAGCCGUGUGUAGGCCCUUCUGUGUAGUGCAGAAAAGGUAGAGGUAUGUGAUUUGAAAGAGUAGGGAUGACAUGGAGGAUGCGACUCCUGGUUGGAUCUAUAAACUAAUGUCUUUGGAACGAAAGCACAUGCAACCUUUUGAAAAUGGAUGGGUGAUAAUGAAAGACCAUUCCAGAGAAGAAACACCAUGGUGCAAAGGCUCAAGAGGCAUACUGGAAGUACAAUGAAGAGAGCAAUCUAACUGAAAUGGGAAAAAAAGAAACAAAGAGUAAAAAGUAAGAUUUGAUGAGAAAGAUGGAAUCGAUUUUUAAAUUUUUUUAUCUACACAACAAAAUUUAUUAUCUUAACCAUUUUUGAGUGAAUAAUUCGUUAGUAUUAAGUAUAUUUACCUCGUGCGGCCAGUCUCCAGAAUUCUUUUCAUCUUGCAAAACAAACCCCGAACCCAUUAAACAAUUUCUCAUUCGCCAUUUUCCAGCUAGCCUUGGUAACCUCCAUUCUAGUUCUGUCUCUGUGAAUUUGACUGUGUACCCCGUGUAAGUGGUAUCAUACAGUAUUUGUAUUUUUGUGACUGGCAUAUUUCACAUAGCAUAAUCUCCUUGUGGUUUAUCCAUCUUGUAGCAUGUGUCAGAAUUUCCUUCCCUUUUAAGACUAAAUAAUAUUCCAUUGUGUGUAUAUACCACUUGUGUUAUUUCCACCUUUUGGUUAUUGUGAAUAAUACUGCUUCAAACAUGAGUGUACAGAUAACUCUUCAAGAUCCUUUUAGGGUAAUACAGAGAUAGUAAGUUAUCUUGAUUGUUCACUGCCA
rnacentral:lncRNA from 1 species